UACAGAGGGGGCAAGCGGUGUUCGGAAUUACUGGGCGUAAAGGGCGCGUAGGCGGCCCGCUAAGUCGAACGUGAAAUCCCCGAGCUCAACUCGGGAACUGCGUCCGAUACUGGCGGGCUUGAAUCCGGGAGAGGGAUGCGGAAUUCCAGGUGUAGCGGUGAAAUGCGUAGAUAUCUGGAGGAACACCGGUGGCGAAGGCGGCAUCCUGGACCGGCAUUGACGCUGAGGCGCGAAAGCUAGGGGAGCAAACGGG
rnacentral:rRNA from 1 species